rnacentral:rRNA from 1 species
GAGUUUGAUCUUGGCUCAGGAUGAACGCUGGCGGCGUGCCUAAUACAUGCAAGUCGAGCGAACGGACGAGAAGCUUGCUUCUCUGAUGUUAGCGGCGGACGGGUGAGUAACACGUGGAUAACCUACCUAUAAGACUGGGAUAACUUCGGGAAACCGGAGCUAAUACCGGAUAAUAUUUUGAACCGCAUGGUUCAAAAGUGAAAGACGGUCUUGCUGUCACUUAUAGAUGGAUCCGCGCUGCAUUAGCUAGUUGGUAAGGUAACGGCUUACCAAGGCAACGAUGCAUAGCGACCUGAGAGGGUGAUCGGCCACACUGGAACUGAGACACGGUCCAGACUCCUACGGGAGGCAGCAGUAGGGAAUCUUCCGCAAUGGGCGAAAGCCUGACGGAGCAACGCCGCGUGAGUGAUGAAGGUCUUCGGAUCGUAAAACUCUGUUAUUAGGGAAGAACGAUAU